UUUUAUUUGAGAGUUUGAUCCUGGCUCAGGAUGAACGCUGGCGGCGUGCCUAACACAUGCAAGUUGAGCGAUUUACUUCGGUAAAGAGCGGCGGACGGGUGAGUAACGCGUGGGUAACCUACCCUGUACACACGGAUAACAUACCGAAAGGUAUGCUAAUACGGGAUAAUAUAUUUGAGAGGCAUCUCUUGAAUAUCAAAGGUGAGCCAGUACAGGAUGGACCCGCGUCUGAUUAGCUAGUUGGUAAGGUAACGGCUUACCAAGGCGACGAUCAGUAGCCGACCUGAGAGGGUGAUCGGCCACAUUGGAACUGAGACACGGUCCAAACUCCUACGGGAGGCAGCAGUGGGGAAUAU
rnacentral:rRNA from 1 species